CCUACGGGUGGCUGCAGUGGGGAAUAUUGCACAAUGGGCGCAAGCCUGAUGCAGCCAUGCCGCGUGUGUGAAGAAGGCCUUCGGGUUGUAAAGCACUUUCAGCGGGGAGGAAGGCGGUGAGGUUAAUAACCUCAUCGAUUGACGUUACCCGCAGAAGAAGCCCCGGCUGACUCCGUGCCAGCAGCCGCGGUAAUACGGAGGGUGCAAGCGUUAAUCGGAAUUACUGGGCGUAAAGCGCACGCAGGCGGUCUGUCAAGUCGGAUGUGAAAUCCCCGGGCUCAACCUGGGAACUGCAUUCGAAACUGGCAGGCUAGAGUCUUGUAGAGGGGGGUAGAAUUCCAGGUGUAGCGGUGAAAUGCGUAGAGAUCUGGAGGAAUACCGGUGGCGAAGGCGGCCCCCUGGACAAAGACUGACGCUCAGGUGCGAAAGCGUGGGGAGCAAACAGGAUUAGAUACCCCGGUAGUC
rnacentral:rRNA from 1 species